rnacentral:rRNA from 1 species
GACGAACGCUGGCGGCGUGCUUAACACAUGCAAGUCGAACGCUGAAGCUCAGCUUUUGUUGGGUGGAUGAGUGGCGAACGGGUGAGUAACACGUGAGUAACCUGCCCCCUUCUUUGGGAUAACGCCCGGAAACGGGUGCUAAUACUGGAUAUUCACUGGUCUUCGCAUGGGGGUUGGUGGAAAGGGCUUUUCUGGUGGGGGAUGGGCUCGCGGCCUAUCAGCUUGUUGGUGGGGUGAUGGCCUACCAAGGCUUUGACGGGUAGCCGGCCUGAGAGGGUGACCGGGCACAUUGGGACGGAGAUACGGCCUAGACUCCUACGGGAGGCAGCAGUGGGGAAUAUUGCACAAUGGGCGCAAGCCUGAUGCAGCGACGCCGCGUGAGGGAUGGAGGCCUUCGGGUUGUGAACCUCUUUCGCACAUGGUCAAGCCGCAACAAUGGUUGUGGUGAGGGUAGUGGGUAAAGAAGCGCCGGCUAACUACGUG